rnacentral:rRNA from 1 species
GACGUAGGGCGCGAGCGUUGUCCGGAUUUAUUGGGCGUAAAGAGCUACGUAGGCGGCUUGUCGCGUCGAAUGUGAAAACUCGGGCUCAACUCCGAGCUUGCAUUCGAUACGGGCAGGCUAGAGUUCGGUAGGGGAGGACUGGAAUUCCUGGUGUAGCGGUGAAAUGCGCAGAUAUCAGGAGGAACACCGGUGGCGAAGGCGGGUCUCUGGGCCGAUACUGACGCUGAGGAGCGAAAGCGUGGGAGCAAACAGG